GCCAGCAUGGUGUAGUGGUUUGAGCAUUGGACUAUGAUUCUGGAGACCAAGGUCCAAAUCCUGUCUUGGCC
rnacentral:tRNA from 1 species